AGAGUUUGAUCAUGGCUCAGAAUCAACGCUGGCGGCGUGCCUAACACAUGCAAGUCGAACGCGAAAGGGGCUUCGGCCCUGAGUAGAGUGGCGAACGGGUGAGUAACACGUGGGUGACCUACCUUCGAGUGGGGGAUAACGUUCCGAAAGGAGCGCUAAUACCGCAUGACGUUCUGGAUUUGAACAUCUGGAAACCAAAGCCGGGGACCGCAAGGCCUGGCGCUUGAAGAGGGGCCCGCGCCUGAUUAGCUAGUUGGCGGGGUAAUGGCCCACCAAGGCGACGAUCAGUAGCCGGCCUGAGGGGGCGGACGGCCACACUGGGACUGAGACACGGCCCAGACUCCUACGGGAGGCAGCAGUGGGGAAUUGUUCGCAAUGGGCGCAAGCCUGACGACGCAACGCCGCGUGGGGGAUGAAGGUCUUCGGAUUGUAAACCCUUGUCGAGCGGGACGAAUGGCCCGCGACCUAAUACGUCGCGGGAAUGACGGUACCGCUAAAGGAAGCCACGGCUAACUCUGUGCCAGCAGCCGCGGUAAUACAGAGGUGGCAAGCGUUGUUCGGAAUUACUGGGCGUAAAGGGCGCGUAGGCGGCCUUCUAAGUCAGACGUGAAAUCCCCCGGCUCAACCUGGGAACUGCGUCUGAUACUGGGGGGCUUGAGUGCGGGAGAGGGAUGUGGAUUUCCAGGUGUAGCGGUGAAAUGCGUAGAUAUCUGGAGGAACACCGGUGGCGAAGGC
rnacentral:rRNA from 1 species